rnacentral:lncRNA from 1 species
UUGAAAAAAUCUUCAUUGCUUUCUUCCUUUUGUCUUUCUUUUAGAGAAUUUUGUAAGAGAGUAGGUGUUGAAACACUUGUGGAACAUCCCACACUUUCGGGCUAAAGUUGAACCGUCUUUCCUACGUUUAUAGACCCGAACCCAAUGAUUUCUUCUUAGAUAUAAGUGUGAAUAAAAUUUCCUUAGUGUGAGAGCAUCCUUUUAGAUGAAUAUACAUCAUAAAAGUCUCCUAGCUCAAAAGUUAAGUUGAGCACUUUCUUAUCGAUUGACUUUUAGUUGACGAUUUUGCAUGGAUCAAAUUCCAACAACCAUUUCUCCUAGGAUAUAAAGAUUCAUGUGGCCUACUAUAUAUCAAAUGAAAUCCCUUUGAGUCUUCUUUCCAAUUCCACCGGUCGUUCACCUAUCCGAGUCUGGAGUCAAAAGUUAUAAGUAUUUGAAUGAGGCACUGUCCAGGGUCCGCAUUGGCCCAGCGCUGCGGAGCAAUUGCCAAAGCACACUGUCUGAGUGUUGCAUUAACCAUAUGCAGCAAACCCUAAGGUCUUAUUUGUCCAUACGGCGCAAAGCCUUUUAGGGGCGUCAAAAAAUGUUUUAAAAAAUGUUUCAGGGCAUAAAGUUCUUUUAUCAUCCCAUAACCAUUUCCAACCCUCUUUGGAUGAAUAUUAAGUCUUAAACACGUUAUUUUCUUAUCACAAAAUCCCAACCAUAUCUCCAUAAGAAAGAGAGAAGAAACUACCUAGGAUUUGAAUAUCUUCCACUUCAAGAUCGAAUUUUUCACUACGUCUUCUCAAAUUCAAGGUGUGUAGAACUAUUCUAAAUAUCAUGGACUAAAUUAUGUUUUCUUUAUGGAUUUCGAUUGAUAAUUAUGUAUGGAUAUAUUACGAUUUCGAGAAACAACUUAAGAGAUUGAAUUAAAAUCUUUUGCAUAUAUGAGAUGAGUUUCGAAAGGUGAUUUUGAGCAUAAGUUGUGAAAUUCCCUUUUCCCAUGACAAAAUUAUGGUCUUAAUAAGUUUUGAAUAGCAAGUUGGGUUUGAGAACAUGAAUUAUAAACCCUUUUUUUUUAUUAUAAGGUGUACGUGUGACACGUGUUGGGGGUUGUUUUAUGCAUGAUAAUCCUUGAAUUCAAAUUUCUCUUUAAAUAUUUUGCAUUUUUGUUAUGCACGCUUUCAAAAGGGUGUUUUCAUGAUAAAAAGUGAUACAAGAAUAACCAAGGAAGACACAACAACAACACACCAAAAGAGUCCACUAGUCAAGAAACCGUGGACCUCUUUGAUGACCACACUCGGAUUCAAGAACACAAGAUAAUAAGGUGUUUAACACCUAUUGGAAGCUAAAAAUCACAAAAUGUAUUAACAAUAAUAGGAUAAAGAACAACAAGAUUAUAAUAACAAGAACAAUAUGGGUUACAAUACAAGACACUACCAACAGUUACAACAAAAUAAAGAUAGAAAGAUAGAUAAAUGGGUGGUAUAAUCUUAAGAACCCAAGAACUUAUUCCACUCUUGGACCCUUAAAACUACACACAACUAUCACCUAUCUCUUAAAAUUGACACAAGAGAGGCAUCCACCACCCACGCACUAACGUAUUAAGAAAAAUGCAACACACAAAUGAUACCACACUUCUGCAAUGCCCUAGUUUCGGUUGGACUCUCUCUCACUCUAAGAGAAAUGUUCUUUCAAUAAUAAUCAACUAAAGAACUAGAAUCCCUAUAAUGUUCUAUUUAUAUUACAUUACAAAAUAAGAGACAAAAGACUAAAGGGCCCUUUCAUUAAUGGGCUCUAAACUGCCCAUUGAGUGCACUUUAGGGGCGGGUUUGGGCCUUCUUCACACUUGGACUUGUGCACCCUUUUAGGUGAUCUUCCAAAAUACUAAAAAAUUAUCCAAGGUCAUGAUCGUACUAGUAUCAUCCUCUCCAUAUUGAGAGAAAUUUGCCCAUAAAUUCACGGCCUCACCUCUUUUACAAAGGAAUAUCACAAUCUCCUUCACACGACCACACAUCUUCUCUAUUUUCCUAGCCUUACAUUUCAAGCUCUUCUUUCUCUCCAUCUUGAGGCUUGCCAUCAAUCUUACCCGAUUCAAUUACUACUUCUUCCCCAAGAUAGUAUAAUUUUCCCUCCCUUAGGAUCACAUUUCUCUGGUUUGGGCACUCAGCCUUGUGUCCCCACCCUUGGCAUUUGAAGCAUUGAAAUCUCUUGGAAUUAGAAUUAGAAAUUGAUUUACCUUCAUACCUAGUUGACUAUUUUGGGGCAGCUUUGGUGCUCUUUAUUUGGACAGCCAUGAAUGAGCUCUCUUUGAGCUCCCUUUCAACCUCUAAUACCGCUUGAAAGAUGCCAUCAAUGGUUUCAAACUUAUGAAGUGUCAUGCGAUUGGUGAUAUCCACAUUUAAACAAACUUUGAAGAGCAUGAUGUCAUGACUCACUUGUUCUCCCCGGUGAUCUAGUUUCACUAUCAAUUGUUGAAAUUCGUUGUAAUAAGCUAUGACACUUUUGCUCCCUUGCCUCAAAUUGUACAAUUUGGCAAGGAGCCCAUGUCUAUAAGUGUCGGGAAAGUAUCUUUGCCACAUAAGGUUCUUUAACCAAAACAAAGGAGGAGGUUGUCCCCCAAUUAUCUUAUUCCCAAAUCCUUUAACAUACUCCUACCAUGUAUUAGCAUACCCUUUAAAGUGAGCUAUAGCAUAUCAAAUUUUCUUUUCUUAGGUAGGAUCAUUAAGUUGGAAUAUCUUGUCACAAGAAGACUCCCAUGCAAGGUAGGCUUUGGGAUCACUCUCACCUUUGAAUACAUGAAGGCUCACUUUGAUGGAAUUAAGACCUACAUCUUGGUUUGGGUGACCAUCUCUCACCUCUCAGCCUAAAUCCCCAUUUAUACCCCUCAUUCUUUAUUCCCUUAGUAAACAUCAUCAUACCACCCAUAACUAUCAUGUUUUCCUCCCCUAUCAUAAACCUCAACAUGGAUGGGUCUAUUUGGGUUAAGCGGAGCUUGUAGUAGCAGGAUUAGAUUUGGAUAGUGAGGUCAUUUAUCAAGUGGAGUUUGGAUGAGAGGGUUUAGGUUUGGUGGUGGUAUUUGGAUUCCAAUCCCUUAUUUUUGGACUUGGUGGAGUGGAGGAUGGUUAGAUCUAUCUUGUUCUUAGCUUCGAGAGUAAAAAUUAGUUGGAUUUAUGGCAAUUGGUGGAUAUAGCAUUUGGUGCAAGGUCUCGGGAGUAUUAGUUGGGGAAUUGUUUUGAGGGGUGGAAGGUCAACUUCUUUAGCUUUUCACACAUUCUAAUCUUCCACUCAUUGAUGCCACAUCCGUAUCUAAUUUCUCAAGACCCACGUUCAACCUAGCCACAUCUCGGGACAUAGUUUUAAGGAGUGCAAAAAUGAGAUUGAUGGCAUUAUUGUCCAUUGUUUGAGCAUUUGAAGCCUCGGCUUCCAUUGUGGUUGUACUAAAAAUAACCAUUCACGUUAUGGUCCAACAAGACACCCAAUCAGUCCAUAACGUCACACACAACAAUACAAUAGAAAUCCUACAAAAUAAAACACACGUUAGUUCAAAACAACCUCACUACACUCUCACACACUUUGUGGUCUCACACUUGAUUUCACAAAUGUUUGCAAGUCAGUUUGUAACUUGAUACAUAUGGACUUAUAAGGGUGAGCAUUGGUCGAGACUUGGUGUGUGAAAUUUAAGUGUAGAAGAGGCCCAAAAAAUACCAAAAUCAGCCCAGAACUUACACUUGAUGGGCAGCCCACUCUUUGAAGGCCCUUUCGGUCAUUUUAACUUAUAUCUUGUAAUAGUUGUAUAAAGGACAAUGUAGGGUUUUAUUUACUUAGAUUAUUAUUGAUGUUUACAUGAGAAACACUUGAAAAACACAAAGUCCUCUCUUCUCUUGAUGAGGAAAAACCGAAACUUGGAGACAACAAUAGGGUGGAUUCUCUUUGUUGUUGAUUGCUUGGAAACAUUGAUGCUAGAGAGGUGGAUUCUGAUCUUGUAUCUUUGUAAGAGAUAGGUUUAUUGUUGUAUGUAGUUUUAAGGGUCCAAGAGUUACCAUUCUUGGUUUUUUAACAUUAUACCUUCAUGUGGUCUAUCUAUCUAUCCUUUUCCUUUUGUAAUCUUGUAUCCAUUUUGUAUCUUGUAUUGUGAAGCCAUUUUUGUUGUUGUUGUUGUUGUUGUUCUCACUGUGUUUUAAUCUUGUGUUGUUAACUUAGUUCGUUGUUGGCUGCAAAGGUGUCAAACACCUAGUAAUAUUUUCCUUCUUGUAUUGCAUUCUUGAAUCCAAGAGUGGUCUCCAAAAGGGUCCUCGGUUCUUUGAAUUAGUGCACUAUUUUUGGAGUGUGUUUGGACUCUUUUGAACCAAUUUCGUGUCUUCCAAGUUUUUACAGUAUCAUUUGGUAUCAAAUAAUGGAUUGAUCUUGUUCCUACAAGAUCAAUCUUGGGCUUGCUUGUUAGAAAAUAAAAAAAAUUUAUUGAAAAGCUAAAAAUUUCAGAAAAAUUGCAAUCUGUCCAUUGUUGUUGUCUUGGCCAAAAUUGUGUUCUUGGCCGAGAUUUGUUCUUGAGUCUAGGUCUAUGAGUAUUUUACUUUUCUUGUGUGUUUGUAGUGUUAUUUUUGUUCCUCACUAACACUUUGAGUCUAUCCAAACUUGAUCUUGAAUUGUUAAUAUUGUUGUUGUGAACAAAGUGUGGCCGAUUGGAUGUUGUUGUUUUUCUAUCCUUGACCGAGUUGAAGGCCUUGUGUUGUAGUGUUGUUGUAGAUCUUGAAAGAUUGUUUUUGUGUUCUUUUUGUUAAUGACAACCUUCACCUUUUGUAAAACUGAAAACACAACACAAAGGGGACUUAGCCGAUUGUUGUUGCUAUCCUUGUGGUCUUGGCCAUGAGAUUGUUGACCUUGUUGUGGUGGACUUGUUGAUCUUGGGAGAUUGUUGUUGGUUGUUCUUGUUGUGGUUGUUGUGUUCUUGAAGUUAUCCACCAUAUUCAUCACCUUGUUAAAGUAAACUUAGAUUUUAAAAAGGUGAAAGACAAGGUGUAGUAUUUAUUGAAUCUUGAAAGACCCCCAACCACCAAAAAGACUUUAUAUCACAUCUGAACCUUUUUCCAUAAAAGAAGGGUCCAUGUUUUAAGGAGAAGUACAAGUCUAGUCAAAGGCUUUUAAGUCUUGAAAUUUGAAUUGAAAAAGGAGCUCCAAAGACUAGUUUGUAUUUACCUCCAUUGAACAAUUUCCACCAAAGUCCAAAUUGUGAAAUUAAAAUGUCAAGAACCGAAGUGGACUGCCAUGUGGACCGCCACAUCACCAUUUACACUGUUCAAGCAACGAUUUUGGCUCAAAUUUUGAUCUUUUAGUUUCAUUGUGUUGUUCCAUUAGUUUCAUUUGUUGAUUUCAUUACUAACUUAAAAGCUAGUACUAGAUUGUAAGUUAGUUUUGAAACCUUCCUUCGUGUAUACAUUCCUUUGUGUGUCUUAUUCUUUUGAGUCAUUGUAAUACUUGGUCCACCUCUCAAUGCCUCAUGUAUUACAAGCAAGGUUACGGCACUUGUGAGACCAAAGUAAAAAAAAAACCCCUGAGACAAAACAAUAGAGAGGGAGAGUAAGGACCAUUCUUGUACAUCUAACUUGUUUUUCGUUUUGUAGGUAACUUGUUGGGCAUAAUGGAAAC